AGCCCAUCAUUAAUAUUUCUGGAGGUUUAAAGAUCGGUGACAGCAUUACAGUAGCGUGUUACACCUUACACACCUGUCCAUACAGAAAACCAAACAUCAGGCUGAAGGGUAUUGAAGGAUCUGAUAAAAUAGAUGAUGUUCAUAUAAAAAAUGGUCAAUGGAAAACCACUCGGACACGCACCGGUGUUGUGAAGGCUGAACACUCAGAUAUUGAGUGUACUGUAACACAUCAUGGACGCAUAACAACAAGAACUACAAAAUCACAAAGUGCAAAAUAUUCUUUUAUAGAGUCUCCAAAACCAGUGACUCCAGUCCAAGAUAAUACAUUUGUUUCCCAGAAUAAAACAGAUUUGAGGACCGACUUGAAGACAAUUGGGCUUUACAUUCUAGCCCCCUCGUUUGCUGUGCUUCUUAUUUGCAUAUUUGCUGGAGUCAUCAUAUACAAGAAGUGUAACACGUCUUCACGACACAGAGUCCAGCGUUCUCUUUAAAGUAAGAUAUGUAUCACAAACUAGUAAGAAACUUACCGUUAAGUGUAAGUGGUAGUUAGAUAUUUAUGAUUAUGCUUAAGUAUGUUUACUGAAAAGUUUAAUAUGUUUCUUUGCCAUUUGGCAGAUAAAAAUAUUUAAACUGUAUGCUAACCUUAAAUGAUUUAUUAACUUUUGUUUCUUUUUUUAUUGUGCAAUUUAGUCAGAGAAAAUCCUGUAAGUAUAUAAUUGAUGAUUACAUUACACCAUUUUAGCGAAUUAACAGUUUAUAGACCUAAUAAAGUGUCUGAAAUGUUGAUUUUACCUCUGUGUCUC